rnacentral:rRNA from 1 species
GACGAACGCUGGCGGCGUGCUUAACACAUGCAAGUCGAACGGAAAGGCCCUGCUUUUGUUGGGUGCUCGAGUGGCGAACGGGUGAGUAACACGUGGGUAACCUGACCUUGACUUCGGGAUAACUUCAGGAAACUGGGGCUAAUAACGGAUAGGAGCUCCUGCUGUAUGGUGGGGGUUGGAAAGUUUCGGCGGAUGGGGAUGGACUCGCGGCUUAUCGGCUUGUUGGUGGGGUAGUGGGUUACCAAGGUUUUGACGGGUAGCCGGCCUGAGAGGGUGACCGGCCACAUUGGGACUGAGAUACGGCCCAGACUCCUACGGGAGGCAGCAGUGAAGAAUAUUGCACAAUGGGCGGAAGCCUUAUGCAGCAACGCCGCGUGCGGAAUGACGGCUUUCGGGUUGUAAACCGCUUUCGCCUGUAACGAAGAGUGAGUGACGGUAAUGGAUAAGAAAGCACCGGCUAACUACGUG